CAACGUUGAAGUGGCCCUUCUCCCUCCCCUCAUUUCCUUUCCGUGGCCUUCACCGUCCAACGGACGUACAGAGAACUCCGGUAGAAAGCCGGCUGUUGGAGACGGGCGGGGGAAGUCUUUAGUACUGGGGUGGAAGAAAGGAAGACAUUUCCUACGGGCUAAGGAAAGUCAAAGGUCCUAGAAGAGUAAACUUGAUCUGCUUGACAGCCAUUGAAAGAAUUUCAUCUCUGUUCUCUGCCUGACUGCCUCGGCACGCCUGCCCCUCUGGCACUCUUCAGAUGGCCUCUUUUCUGAGUAGGCCCCUCAGUGAAGCUGCUGGGAAGAAUUAUUUCCUGGAAUGAAAUAUCCUGGCCAGAGUGACACACUCCAUGUUGUAUUUGCCACGAAGUUGAUGAAAUUAUGCCUUUCAGCAGAGUGCCCCAUAUC